rnacentral:rRNA from 1 species
CCAAUAGCGUAUAUUAAAGUUGUUGCAGUUAAAAAGCUCGUAGUUGAAUUUUGGAUUCUUCCAAUUGGUCCAUCUUUUAGAUGAGUACUGGUUGUGUGGGGUCUAUCCGCCUGGUGAUACGUAAUGUCCUUUAUUGGAUGUUGCGGGUAGUCAGGACCUUUACCUUGAAAAAAUUAGAGUGUUUAGAGCAGGCUUAUGCCGGAAUACAUUAGCAUGGAAUAAUAGAAUAGGACGAAGUUGUUUUAUUUUGUUGGUUUCUAGGACAACCGUAAUGAUUAAUAGGGAUAGUUGGGGGCAUUAGUAUUCAAUUGUCAGAGGUGAAAUUCUUGGAUUUAUUGAAGACUAACUACUGCGAAAGCAUUUGCCAAGGAUGUUUUCAUUAAUCAAGAACGAAAGUUAGGGGAUCGAAGACGAUCAGAUACCGUCGUAGUCUUAACCAUAAACUAUGCCGACUAGGGAUCGGGCGAUGUUGUUUCCAUGACUCGCUCGGCACCUUAUG